GACAGAGGGUGCGAACGUUGCUCGGAAUUACUGGGCGUAAAGCGCGUGUAGGCGGGUGAUCAAGUCAGGUGUGAAAUCCCUGGGCUCAACCCAGGAACUGCACUUGAAACUGGUUGCCUUGAGUGUUGGAGAGGGAAGCGGAAUUCCUGGUGUAGCGGUGAAAUGCGCAGAUAUCAGGAGGAACACCGGUGGCGAAGGCGGAUCUCUGGGCCUUACCUGACGCUCAGGCGCGAAAGCUAGGGGAGCGAACAGG
rnacentral:rRNA from 1 species